rnacentral:rRNA from 1 species
AGCGAACAGAUAAGGAGCUUGCUCCUUUGACGUUAGCGGCGGACGGGUGAGUAACACGUGGGUAACCUACCUAUAAGACUGGGAUAACUUCGGGAAACCGGAGCUAAUACCGGAUAACAUUUGGAACCGCAUGGUUCUAAAGUGAAAGAUGGUUUUGCUAUCACUUAUAGAUGGACCCGCGCCGUAUUAGCUAGUUGGUAAGGUAACGGCUUACCAAGGCGACGAUACGUAGCCGACCUGAGAGGGUGAUCGGCCACACUGGAACUGAGACACGGUCCAGACUCCUACGGGAGGCAGCAGUAGGGAAUCUUCCGCAAUGGGCGAAAGCCUGACGGAGCAACGCCGCGUGAGUGAUGAAGGGUUUCGGCUCGUAAAACUCUGUUAUUAGGGAAGAACAAAUGUGUAAGUAACUGUGCACGUCUUGACGGUACCUAAUCAGAAAGCCACGGCUAACUACGUGCCAGCAGCCGCGGUAAUACGUAGGUGGCAAGCGUUAUCCGGAAUUAUUGGGCGUAAAGCGCGCGUAGGCGGUUUCUUAAGUCUGAUGUGAAAGCCCACGGCUCAACCGUGGAGGGUCAUUGGAAACUGGGAAACUUGAGUGCAGAAGAGGAAAGUGGAAUUCCAUGUGUAGCGGUGAAAUGCGCAGAGAUAUGGAGGAACACCAGUGGCGAAGGCGACUUUCUGGUCUGUAACUGACGCUGAUGUGCGAAAGCGUGGGGAUCAAACAGGAUUAGAUACCCUGGUAGUCCACGCCGUAAACGAUGAGUGCUAAGUGUUAGGGGGUUUCCGCCCCUUAGUGCUGCAGCUAACGCAUUAAGCACUCCGCCUGGGGAGUACGACCGCAAGGUUGAAACUCAAAGGAAUUGACGGGGACCCGCACAAGCGGUGGAGCAUGUGGUUUAAUUCGAAGCAACGCGAAGAACCUUACCAAAUCUUGACAUCCUUUGAAAACUCUAGAGAUAGAGCUUUCCCCUUCGGGGGACAAAGUGACAGGUGGUGCAUGGUUGUCGUCAGCUCGUGUCGUGAGAUGUUGGGUUAAGUCCCGCAACGAGCGCAACCCUUAAGCUUAGUUGCCAUCAUUAAGUUGGGCACUCUAGGUUGACUGCCGGUGACAAACCGGAGGAAGGUGGGGAUGACGUCAAAUCAUCAUGCCCCUUAUGAUUUGGGCUACACACGUGCUACAAUGGACAAUACAAAGGGCAGCUAAACCGCGAGGUCAUGCAAAUCCCAUAAAGUUGUUCUCAGUUCGGAUUGUAGUCUGCAACUCGACUACAUGAAGCUGGAAUCGCUAGUAAUCGUAGAUCAGCAUGCUACGGUGAAUACGUUCCCGGGUCUUGUACACACCGCCCGUCACACCACGAGAGUUUGUAACACCCGAAGCCGGUGGAGU